UUAUUAGAAGCCAGGACUGCGAUUCAGAAAACCUAGAUUCUAACCCCUCCGUGACCUUCAGCAAGUCACUUUCUCUCUUUGGCCCUCAGUCUUUCCAUCUGUAAAACAGAAGAGGUGUGGGGUGAACAAAUGAGCUGCAACAACCCUAAUCCUGGGGUACCAAGAAAUCUUGGUCGGCCUCUCACAAUCACUUGUCCAUUUUCAGUGUGACCAGAGAGAAGAAAAAAAAAAAAAGAAAAACCCACAGCUGGAUCCAGGAGCACAAACCUCUCUCCACUAUUUGCCACAGAGAUGGCUGCCAUGCCUGAAGGAGGACCAAGCCAUGCUCAAAAGAGAUUGAGUCCUUCUUACAAUUAAUCAGCUACACCCCUGUGUUGUAUGUCUUGAUGUCUAAUUUCCAGAGGAAAGAUUGUUGUCAAACCAAAUAAAUGACGAUGCUUUUGGAAAAGAAAAAAAAAA
rnacentral:lncRNA from 1 species